CGUUCCUGCUUCCAGUCAGGGUGUCGAAAACCACAAGGGGCUGUUGCUCCCACGCAAACAACGUCAGACGGUCAGGGCACGAAGAGACGUAAGUGAACCAAAUUCCAGAAGUGAGCAGACACUGCCUAGGAGAGAAGAGCCUGGUGGCUGCUCUCAUCCCUGUGACCUACUCACCUCUUCCCUGUGAAAUGGGGAGCUUCAGCAGCCAAAGGAUGCAAAGCAAAAUUUGCAAAGGGAAAAGGCACGCCGAGUCCAAGGGAAACCAGGCAUAAGUUUCCAAGAGUCCUCUCCCAGCAGAGUCCCACCGGGCAGCCGAAAUUCCUUUGCAACGAGCUGUCACAACACGUGUGAAAUGGGACCAGCCCGCACAGUGUUGAAGUCUGAAUAGUUAUGGCUCUGGCCUCCACUGAGCCUUGGGCAAGCCCUGGAUCUUGAACUCUAACGAAGCCUCGCUGAGCAUGUGGCCUCUCCACAAUCCCCCGAGCUCACCCAGAUGCACACACACACCAGCAUGGGUUCCCUGGAACAUUCUACAAUGAAGGUAUCACCUAAUGGCUGUAUCGCUCUCGAAAAGUAACUGUUGAAAUCACUCUGAUUGUUACGGUGAACUCCAGUUUUUGUAUAUGAUUGUGCGUCAAUACCCAUAUACUUAUAGAUAUGGUUUAUAAUCUUGUUGCAUGGAAUAGUCACAACACCCUGCGACAACUGGGGUUUUUAAAGGAAAAUAAAUAAAGGUUAAAGGCCUUUGUGGUUUAGCUGCCUGGCUUCCUACAACGAUUCUGCAUGUCUUCCCUCGAUCCCGCCCCUCUCGGGGAGACUCUCCUGGACACUGUGACCACUGACUGCCCACCACAUGUCCUCCCCACGGCGACUCACACCCUCCUCCCGGGGCUGCGAGCCGCCUUCCAUCACCGCAUCCACCUUCAGCA